AUACAGAGGGUGCGAGCGUUAAUCGGAAUUACUGGGCGUAAAGCGCGCGUAGGCGGCUUGGUCAGUCGGAUGUGAAAGCCCCGGGCUCAACCUGGGAAUGGCAUUCGAUACUGCCAGGCUAGAGUAUGGGAGAGGGAAGUGGAAUUUCCGGUGUAGCGGUGAAAUGCGUAGAUACCGGAAGGAACACCAGUGGCGAAGGCGACUUCCUGGCCCAAUCCUGACGCUGAGGUGCGAAAGCGUGGGGAGCGAACAGGAGUAGAUACCCCAGUAGUCC
rnacentral:rRNA from 1 species